UACGUAGGGGGCAAGCGUUGUCCGGAUUUAUUGGGCGUAAAGAGCUCGUAGGUGGUUCGGUAAGUCGGGUGUUAAACCCCCAGGCUCAACCUGGGGACGCCACUCGAUACUGCUGUGACUUGAGUCCGGUAGGGGAGCGUGGAAUUCACGGUGUAGCAGUGAAAUGCGUAGAUAUCGUGAGGAACACCGGUGGCGAAGGCGGCUUCCUGGACCGACACUGACGCUGAGGCGCGAAAGCUAGGGGAGCAAACGGG
rnacentral:rRNA from 1 species